CAGUGCCUGGCGGUCAUGGACGCUGACGGUGCUGGGCACGCCGCUGAUGUCCUGUUCCUGGCGGGUGGCACUGA
rnacentral:tRNA from 1 species